rnacentral:snoRNA from 17 species
UAUAUAAUGAUGAAAACUUCAAGGAAGUGCCGUCCGAAUAUUUAUGUUGACGAUAAUUAAUUAAUCUGAACAUAAUUA